UUCUCUCUCUUUCAGUCUAUCCCAUUGUCUCCUCUGUUCAAUUGUGACUUUCUUUUGACCCAAGAUCAAAGAUUUAUUAGCGCGUACAAAUCAAAGAUAACUGCUAUACCAAACUUUCAAUAGUUUCCCUUCAAUAAGCAGGCUAAAUGAAACUGAGACGCCUUGAUAUUAGCGCGCACUCGACCGGUGUGGCCUCUGGUGUUUAAAUUUCCGAAAUUAGUUCAGAUUCACAUUUAAGUUGAACUGAAUACUUUGGUUGAACAUUAAAUUCAGAGUCGUUCGAAUACCGAGGUCAGUCAUCGGCCU